rnacentral:rRNA from 1 species
AAUGAACGUUGGCGGCGUGGAUUAGGCAUGCAAGUCGAACGAGAUCUGUAGCAAUACAGUGAAAGUGGCGAAAGGGAGAGUAACACGUAGGUACCUGCCCUCGGGUCUGGGAUAGCUGCGGGAAACUGCAAUUAAUACCGGAUGACGUCUCUGGACCAAAGGUGUGAUUCCGCCAGGGGAUGGGCCUGCGUCCUAUCAGCUAGUUGGUGUGGUAACGGCGCACCAAGGCUAAGACGGGUACGGGGUGUGAGAGCAUGCCCCCGCUCACUGGGGCUGAGAUACUGCCCAGACACCUACGGGUGGCUGCAGUCGAGAAUCUUCCGCAAUGGGCGCAAGCCUGACGGAGCGACGCCGCGUGUGGGAUGAAGGCCUUCGGGUUGUAGACCACUGUCAGUGGGGAGCAAAUGCAUCAGGGUUCUCCCUGGUGUUUGAGCGAUCCGCAGAGGAAGCACAGGCUAAUUCCGUGCCAGCAGCAGCCGCAGUAA